AUUUAUUUAGAUUCGUUGUUAUUUAGAUCGUUAUUUAGAUCACGCUUAUAUUUAGUAAAAUAGGAAGAAAACUGAUCGUUGAUAUGUGAAAUCUCCAAUUUUGUUUAUGUAUCUACUAAAUUAAAAAUGUUUAUUAUAUCUAUAUGGAUAUUCACUGAAAAUAUGUGAUGUUGCGAUGAGUAGUUUGAUUGAUGAAAUCAGCUUGGUCUGAUCUGUAAAUACAAAUUAUUUGGUCGUCUGUCAAUUAUUACAAAUCUCUUAACAAAACAAAGUUCCAAUUUGUUGUGGGGUUGGAUGAUUAAGAAAAAGUAGUCACUGGUGAUUCACUUAAGGUGUUAGUCCUGUAUUAAAAAGCUGUAACUUUUGUGUGCUGAUGUAAUCUUUUAGUUGCAGGUUGUUAAUUUUAGAACAGAAUUGUAAAAAACUCUUUUAUUUGGUUUCUGUAUAGUGAUGGAAAAUAUUUGAUGCCAGUUACUUUGUGUCUCAGUAAGCAAGCUACUAGAUAGUUUCUAUCAUAGUUUGCUGCAAGAUGACCAUAAUUACGGCCAGGGCCAGCGAAGCACAAGAACAUGUUAGAGCUAGAGUUCUUUGAAAAGCUAUUUGUUCAUUACCUUACAAAAAUUCCUGAUUGGUGGCUGCGGUUUACUAUCUUCUAUGUUUCUGUUUACAGUUAAUCACAUGUAAGACACAAAGUAAAGGUCCGCAGAAAAAUACGAUAUCCUGAACUUCAGAAAUAGUACGAAAAGGUUCACAACUACUCAUCAGAAAUCCAGGUUAGACCGCAUCUCCUUCUCUGUUUGCAAUGUAACCUCUCAUAUUAUAUUUUUGGUUUUGAUUUCAUGUCAAAUAUACAUUUCUGAGUUUUGAAGGAAAUUGGUAAAUAUGAUUAGGAGAGUAAAGUAUUUCGAGAUCCAACCAGAGAGCCACAGACCGUUUUCUAUGGUGUGGCUCUGCCGAUGGAAAUCUUGUGGUCAUUUUCCCAUGUGUAAGCUUUCAUGUAUUUGGUGAAAAUAUGCGCUUUGGUGGACUCUUUUGCUGCAAAACGGCUAAUGGAGACGGUAACGGAACAAUGCACAUCAACAUACUCGAUAGUUAAAGUGAAAGAAUAAAUAAGAACGAGGACAUGCUAGGCGGAUCAAAAGCACCACCAAUGGCCAAGCAAAACGCUACGUCUGGUACUCUUGCAAGUAGGGAGUUCUAUAAAGAAUCUUCUCAGCCUUCCAACGCUUUGAAAAAGACAACAGUGGAUAUAUCACAAUGGAAGCGCUGGAGCAGUCCCUGAGGGACACUAAUGGUGGAAGAGACCUUAAUGAAAUUAUUUCUGAAGUUGAUGGAGAAAAAUAGUUUCAAAGAAGGGGAGCUUCGCCACUUCUUCCUCUUUGUGUCACAUCUAUAGAAACGUCUGUUUCGUUCCAUUUCAGGCUCCUCUGCGGCUUCUCGGUGGCAUUUCCAACUUCAUACAUUUUACACAUGGGAUGCUAACAAGUAACAACUUGCUAUCGUAAAUAAGGAUGAUAAAAGACAUAAACAUGGAGAAAAUACACUUUGUAUUAUGAGAGAACUGCAUCAGUUUAAAAUAUUGUAAUUGUCGAGUGGGAGAACGGAGUACUGAAUUAAUUUACACACUGUAUUAGCAGCCCUUGACCACUAAGAUAAGCUAUCUCAAAAGAUUUGAUUGCUUAAGAAAGAAAGCUCAAAUAUAUUUUUGGAUCAAAUAGUUGGUAAAGCCUUCAGUUUCCAGCUUAAGUUGGGCGAUUUCAACUUCACUUUCCAGCUCAAGUUGGGCGAGUUCAACUUCACUUCCUAACACCAAACCUUCACUGUAUCACGCAUAAUAACUGAGCACGAGAGGGAUGACCAUGGACCCGAUGACAAUGGAGAUGUUGCAGAGUUGGCAAAAGAUGUGGCACCAUCAAACGGUGAGAGCGUGAAGAAGAAGGCACGUCAGGAGUAGACCAACUUGGAUUAAACAAUUUCCCACCGCUUUGCUUAUCAAAUAAUGCUUUAUCAUAGUUUUCCCUAAUAUUUUGAACUCUCUAAUAUCUUUUACAUUUUCAAUUUAAUCUCUUUGUUUCGGUGGAUGUUUAAGCUAUAAAUGCAAUUUGUUCCUUUUCUUUAAAAUUUCAACUUGGCCUUAUUAUUAUAGAUUAUAACUCUUACCGCUUUCUUGGAUUGGAUUUUAUCACUAUUUAUGCAGCUUAAACUUUAAUUAUCCUUUUAGGUUAAUAACCUUAUUCCAAAAUUUAUGAAAUCAUGUAAAUUCCAAACCAACUGAGGCACAAAUAUCUGAUUAAAGGUUAACCAAAUUUAUCAACGAAAUUAAACCAUAAUGCAUAAAGUAUCGUGCUUUAUAAUACGAGCAUAUAUAGAAUUACAUUUGGAUUGUUCUUUAAGAUCGAACAUACAUUUGUUGACACUUUCCAAAAACUGUUUGUGACUUAUAGUAAAUAAAACAGAUUAUAAGUAAUAUUUUCUUGCAUCACUUUCUCUAAUCCUUAAAUUUGACGUUUGAAAAUUUAAAAUUUCAUUAUAAAUUGAAAAUCUAAUAUAAAUUGAAACAAACAUAUAUUAAAAGAACAUCAUUUUUUGUUACAUAAUAUAUACUAAGACAUUAUUGAAACAAUUUAUAUAUAUUCUUUUAAAAUAUAACUUUUUAUAAUUUCAUCAAAUUACAUUUAAUUUUCAAUUGAUUUAGCUUAGAGGUGGGUGUAUUAAUUUAUUACCGUAAGAAAUUAGUUGUUGUAAUAAUAUUAGAAUCAGACACUCUUAAAAAUAAAAAAAAUAUUACUCAUUCUUACUUCAAAUUUUCUUCAACUAUAUCAAAUUGAAACACAAAUCAAAUGGAGAAAUAUAAAUUAUUCUAUUUUCUAAUUUAAUACUUUUUUGUUCUCUAAUAAAAAUAUAUUAGUGGUUUUUUCAAUUCAAACCAAUUAAAUUUAAUAAAAUUUACAAUAUAAUCUCAGAAUAAAAAAAUAUUAUAUUUAAUUAUUUCAAUAUAAAGUAAAUUUAAAAUGUUAUAUAAAAUUAAAAUAUAUUUUAAAUAUAAAAUAGUUUUAGUGUAAAUUCAUCCGCCCGUAGGGCGGACCAACCCCUAGUUGCCUUAAGAGGUAAUCUACUCAGUCUCUAAUGGAAGCCAUUUAUAAACAUCAACACAUUUAAUUAUAAAGAAAACAGAAACAGCUCCAACGGCUUUGGAUAAGGGUUUCAAUAAACACCAUUUUUAAAAAAAAAAAUUUGAUAAAACACCAAUUUCAUAUACUGAGCAGAUAAAAUAAGGUAGAAACCUUUAUGUAUUAAAAAGGAAAAGAAGAAGGAAGAAACCUAUUUAAUAUCAGAUUAAGUUAAUGCUUUGACGAAUCUAAUAAAGAAAAACAUAUGCAUUUUGUUUUUGAAAUGAUGAAAGCUUAGAGAGCUACUGCCUCCCCUAAAUCACUAUGAAAAUAUUUCUCUAUCCAAGAUGCUCAUGUUUUAGAUGGACGCUUUGAUCUUUCGUGACCCGGAUCAUGCUUAUCUGUUUUAUAUUACAUCGCGUUAAUUUUUUUUCUAUUUUUUUUUCUCUCUAAGGUCUGUCCUAUAUAUUUGCACAAAGACUCUUUAUAGAUAAAAGAUUAAGUUUUGCAGCGAUUUAAGUGUUUAUAAAUAACUGAUUGUGACUGUUUUUGUUUUUGCAGAUGGAUCUUCUUAUAAUCAGAACAAUGCUUAACGAUGAGAUUCAAGGAGAAGUAGCUUCAGAACCUUUUCUUUCUGGAAAUAGAAGAAAAGAAACUGAAAGACCAACAAGCUCUGUUCUUCCAACAAAACCAAGGUAAUUAAUUGCUCAUAGGGCAAAAGUAUGGGCAUUCUUUUAAUUUAAAAAGAAGAUGUCAAUGCA